UUCUUUAUUUUUAUCCUACGGUAGAAAAAUUGCAUCUUUUGUUACUCUCCUUCCGCCAUUCGAUCCACACAGUUCCUGAUCACAAAUUCAAAACCCUAAUUUUAUUUUUCAUUUCAUUUUUAUGAUGGCAUAGCUGUUUGAUUAGGCACAAAAACCCUCAGGUUCUGGUCCCUUUGGAUUUUCCUCCGAGCUAAAUCAAAUGGGUAGUUUUCAAGUUUUUUAUUUGAAUAUCUUUUUCCCAUGAAUCUGGUUUCGAUUUUGUGCGGCGAAGUGUAUAUAGGGAACAGUCCGGCCAUAACAAGAGAAAAGAGAAAAUCAUUGAAUUCCAAAGAUGAAUAUCAAUCGAAGGAGCUUCCUUUUCGAGACCCGAUCGUGGCGGGUCUUGGCCGGAGCGUGGCCUUUGAGGCGGAUCGGGUUGUAUGGUGGUGGAUCGGGGCGUUUGGAGACAUUGGGACCGGAGAUGGGAGCGUUUGGGGCCAGAGAGGUUGUGACCGAGAAGAAGAAGAGAGGAAGAAGAAGAAGAGAUUCAGAAGAAGAACAGAGAUGCAGCUCAGAGGAGAAGAGAAGAAAGGGUGGCUGCUAGGGUUUCUGGACCCUCUGUUUUUUUGUUCUGUAGCUGCUAGGGUUCCAGACGCGUUUUGGCAGAGUGUAUGGUAGAGAGAUGGAGCAGCUUGGUGAGGCUUAUGCGCAAGUACUUGAUGCAGAAUCAGUCAGCAGGUUUGAAUUCUGAUUGACAAUCACUGACAGCUUUGUUCAAUCCCCUUGUCCAAAUUGACUCAUUGAUUGAUUGAUUGAUUGUACAAAUAGUUAACCUAUCCCUAUUCCAAUGACCAUCUACUGGUAGAGUUAUGGGUUCUUGAUUUUUUAUAUUAAAUCUCCAACCCAAGCUAUCUAUAAAUACCACCAUUGUUUUGUUAUUUUUCCUCAUUCUUGGUUGUUCCUUUGUUUGGGGUUGUGGUAUCCAAACUUAUUUGUGCAUUGUGUUUUCUUGAUGGUUUUAAUUGCUGGUUUUAAUGGCUGGAGCAUUGAAUCCCCUUCGUUCCAUAUGCAUUGGGAUCGAUCCUAAAAAAGAUACUUGGAGAGUGAAGGUUCGGGUUCUUCGUGUUUGGGAUAUGUUUCCAGUUGGUGAACCCUCAAAACCUUACGCUAUCCAUGUUGUGCUUAUUGAUGUAGAGGGUGUGAAAAUUGAGGGCAUCAUUAAGAAAGGGAUGCUAAAAAAGUUUAGAGGUGAACUGGUUGAGGGCAGUGUAUAAAGGAUAACUUAUUUUAAUGUUAUUUCAAACUCUGGUGCAUUUCGUGCCACUGAGCAUGGGUUCAAGAUAGUAUUUAAUAGCCGGACAAAGGUUGUGCCUGAUUCUGGUGAGACGAUUCCAACUAUUGGUUUAUCAUUGAAGCACUGUGCUGAAAUUGGGAUGACACUUGGUGAAUCUGACUUUCUAAUAGCUGGAACUAACAGUAGAUUGGAAACUCUUUGUAGUGGAAGGGAUACAUGGAGGAUUAAAGUAAGAGUCGUUCGAGUAUGGGAGAUGUGCCCAGUUUCUGAACCAUCAAAACCAUAUGCAAUGAGUAUUGAAGGUGAAUCCAGGAGUUUAUGUCCAAGCUAGGAACAGGAGAAACAUCAGAUUGAACCGAAAAAUUUGCAAAAGCUGAAGUAGUUCAAACCCACCAUGGAUGAGAAGAUGGGAAUCAGAUGCAGUUACCUUUUUAGACUUGAUGAUGGUAACAUGGUUAGUACUUAAGUAGAGUAAUAUGUAAAUUUUAGAUUUUGAAAGUUUGAUGUUGAUUCUCUAAGAUUUGUGUUUUUCGUUUGUGGGGGAUGUGUCCUAUUGCUGAUUCCUCAAAACCAUGCUAUGCAUCUUGUCCUAAAUGAUGCAGAGGUUAUAUUUUUGGCAUGUUAUUGUUUUAUAGUUUUCUGUCCUACAAUUACUACAGUCAUUUACAGGGUGUGAAAAUUGAGGCUUCCAUCAAGAAAAAUCACAUUAGUAAAUACGUAAGUGACUUGGCUGAAAAUUGAUUUGGAUCUCUUUUUUCCUUGCUGCAUUUUCACAUGCUGAAAUACAUGGGAGUACAGGAAAAUAACGAGAGAAGGUGUUAAUCUUUCAAAUGUGACGGCAGGCAGGUCGUUCGUUAGAUAGCUAAUUUUUUGCUGCUUGACUAUGAGGUGUCUACAAGGGAAACACAUUACAACACCUGGAGAGAGCAAACUCCAUAAUAUUGGGAUAGUGUAGGCAUACUUAAUUAUUUAAGUUUCAGAUUCUAGAAUUUGCUAUUGUUUUAAUAUGAAAGUAAUACUUAAUCUGUCAAGGAGCUCGCUCUGAUAUUGUACACAGAUAUUCUCACUUCAAGUUAGGUUUUUCAGCUACUUGUGUGGGGCAUGGUUGAGUUACUAAGAUAUUGAUUACUGUUGGGCUUGUCAGAAUGCAUUUUCAUGAUUGUUUAUUAUAGUAAGUCAUCAUAUAUAUGAAGCAUUUAUUUCUUAUCA